UACGAAGGGGGCUAGCGUUGCUCGGAAUGACUGGGCGUAAAGGGCGCGUAGGCGGUUUGUACAGUCAGAUGUGAAAUUCCCGGGCUCAACCUGGGGGCUGCAUUUGAUACGUGCGGACUUGAGUGGGGAAGAGGGUCGUGGAAUUCCCAGUGUAGAGGUGAAAAUUCGUAGAUAUUGGGAAGAACACCGGUGGCGAAGGCGGCGACCUGGUCCUUGACUGACGCUGAGGCGCGAAAGCGUGGGGAGCAAACAGG
rnacentral:rRNA from 1 species